AGUCACAGUCGCAGCCCGGAUUUUUGGGUUUACUGUGGUAUUGAUGGAUGUGAACAGGACUUUAGAGUUUUUAACUCUUUCUUUCGCCACAUUAAACGGACGCACCUUCAGUAUUUGAGGACUGGAUGCCCACCAAGCGGAUGGAGUACGACGCCUUCUUCUCGGUCUUUGGGACAGGAAACAUUUGGUGUUUCGGUGUUUGCCAGCUGUAGCACUCCUGCAGCGGCCAGCACUACGGCUGUCCCACCUGAUGCCUCUUUACCUGAACCGUCACCACAGCCUGAAGCUGACGGCCGCCUUGAGUCCGAAGACGCUGUUGCUGUGACCUCCAGAACCAGACCUGAUAUAGCUAGAUCCGCAGCGGCAUUCGCCAUCAGUGUCCGGGAACAGUGCCAGUUAUCACAGAGAACUGUCAACAGUGUCAUCUCAGGGGUGCAACAGUACCAAGCUGCUCUCAUUGACACACUAAGGGAGAGAAUCAGAAGUGUGUUUGAAGAGAAUCCAGACACAACUGCUCAGCUCCAAGGGGAGGCUUUGGCUACGUUUGAUGCGUUCAUGGAUCCUUUCUCAACCACAGCAUAUGGACAGAAUAAAACCAUCCGGGAACUAUUUCAAUCCAGUCAACCCAGAGGAAGUUGUGGUGUCCCAGAAGAUUUGUUGGGUAAAGCGUGGUCUUUCAAGGGUCAUGGCCUUAAGAGGCAAAAGUUUUUACUAUGUACCACUCAUUCAAAGUCUUAAGCAGUUACUGACCAAUCCCAGAAUCUUCACCAUGUUAACCACUGUACCACAAAGAAGUGAGGGAUUCUUGUAUGAUUUUACUGAUGGAGCCCUUUUUACAUCCCAUCCAUUAUAUUCUCAAAGGCCAAAUGCAUUGCAAAUACUAUUGUACACCGAUGAAAUUGAAAUAUGUAACCCUUUAGGCGCCCAUGCCUCUGCAAAUAAAUUACUGAUGUUUUAUUAUAGUUUAGGGAAUAUAGAUCCAAAAUUUAGGUCGAAGUUGGCUGCAAUAAGACUCCUGGCUAUUGCCAAGGCAAACAAUAUUUCUCAGUGGGGUGUUGAUGUUAUACUAAAAAGAAUCCAAAAAGAUCUGACACUUCUGUACAAUGGUGUUAGGAUUGACACCCCAAAUGGUGAAAUUGAGUUGUUUGGUGCUGUGAUCGCCAUAUGUGGAGACACACUUGCCCAACAUGAUAUUGCUGGAUUUAAACAAGGUGUUGGUUUUGCUUAUAGCAAAUGUAGACAUUGUGAAUGCUCCUUUGAGGAUAUGCAAAGUAUUUUUGAGGAGAAUAGGUUUGCUGAAAGAACUUUGGAAAAGCACAUUAGGCAGUGUGUUGAAAUAGAUAAGGCAAGCACAGAAACAUUGAAAGCAUCCCUCAAAACCACUUAUGGGAUUAACAGAAGAAGCAGACUAGUUGAUGUUCCAGCAUUUGAUCUGAUCAAACAAACACCACAGGAUAUAAUGCAUGUAAUUUUUGAAGGUGUUGCACCAAUGGAAAUAAAGCUUGUAUUAAAAAACCUGAUUCUGUCAGGACAGAUAGAAUUAGAUGAGAUUAACUCAGCUAUUCUAAAUUUUCCUUACUCACCUCUAGACAUAAGAGAUAAGCCAUGUCCUAUUAGUGUCAGUACUUUAGCUGCUAAUGACAAUAAAUUAAAGCAGUCAUGUGGACAAAUGUUGAUACUUUUAAAAAUCCUACCUUUUCUUUUGAACGGUAUGGACAACGAGUAUGUCAAAUUUAUUCUCAAGUUAAUUGAGAUUGUUCAAAUUGUCCUUGCUCCUGUUAUUUCUUUAGAAACCGUAUUACGGCUCAGACGCAUGAUUGAGCAACAUCUGCAUCAUUUCAAAGAACUUUUCUCUGAAGCCAAUGUAAUACCCAAGCAACAUUACAUGUUACAUCUACCAAGCCAAAUCAUAUCUCUUGGUCCAUUAAUAAGAAGUAUGUGUAUGCGAUUUGAAGCUAAGCACAGUUAUUUUAAGCAGUGGGCUUCUAAGUUAAAUUUCAAAAAUGUCUGUAAAUCGCUUGCAAACCAUAACCAGUUCCUUGAAUGUUGUCAAAAUGAAAUAGGCAUUGAGCAUCCAAUUUUUGCUAGUGAAAGAGAAUCGGGGCCUGUCUCAGCUGUCAAAAAUUUUGAUUAUGUCAAGAGAAAAGUCAAAGAUUUUCUAGGCGUAGAGGUCAUGCAAUCUGUUGUCUCAGUGAAAUGGUACAUCCUCAAUGGCAAUAAGUACAUUAGUGGUAAAUCUAUGAUUAUUGUAGAUGUAGAUGAUGCUUUCCCAGUGUUCGGACUGAUAAAAGAUAUAUUUGUGAUUGAUUCCUCUUAUGUUGCUUUUGAGUACCAGCGUUAUGAGACACUGAAUUUGAGUCCAGAAUUGCUGGCAUAUGAGGUGGCAGUUCCCAAUGUUGCCCAGGCUACAGAAUUUGUACAUGAACUCAUUGACUGUAUUUCUUAUUUUUCUGUUAGUUUCAAGGAACAUAUGUUUGUGCCAAUAAAAUAUAGUCUUUGUGAUAUUAUUGCCCACAGAAGUAGACAUUAAAAUGGAGGAAUGAAAGGGAAGCAUUGAUUUAUUGGGUGAUCAAGUUUGCCGGUUUCCUGGACCUGUUUUUGUUAACAAACUGUUUUGGUCAUUAAACAAUUCCAUGGACUGUAUGGUGAGUUGUGGUGAAGGCUGUAUAAUUUAUCCUCACAUUGUCUGAACAUGCUUGAAGUCAGAGCAAUAAUAAACUCUGUUUCUUUCAGA
ensembl:lncRNA